GAUGAACGCUGGCGGCGUGCCUAAUACAUGCAAGUCGAGCGAACAGACGAGGAGCUUGCUCCUUUGACGUUAGCGGCGGACGGGUGAGUAACACGUGGGUAACCUACCUAUAAGACUGGGAUAACUUCGGGAAACCGGAGCUAAUACCGGAUAAUAUUUCGAACCGCAUGGUUCGAUAGUGAAAGAUGGCUUUGCUAUCACUUAUAGAUGGACCUGCGCCGUAUUAGCUAGUUGGUAAGGUAACGGCUUACCAAGGCAACGAUACGUAGCCGACCUGAGAGGGUGAUCGGCCACACUGGAACUGAGACACGGUCCAGACUCCUACGGGAGGCAGCAGUAGGGAAUCUUCCGCAAUGGGCGAAAGCCUGACGGAGCAACGCCGCGUGAGUGAUGAAGGUCUUCGGAUCGUAAAACUCUGUUAUUAGGGAAGAACAAACGUGUAAGUAACUGUGCACGUCUUGACGGUACCUAAUCAGAAAGCCACGGCUAACUACGUGCCAGCAGCCGCGGUAAUACGUAGGUGGCAAGCGUUAUCCGGAAUUAUUGGGCGUAAAGCGCGCGUAGGCGGUUUUUUAAGUCUGAUGUGAAAGCCCACGGCUCAACCGUGGAGGGUCAUUGGAAACUGGAAAACUUGAGUGCAGAAGAGGAAAGUGGAAUUCCAUGUGUAGCGGUGAAAUGCGCAGAGAUAUGGAGGAACACCAGUGGCGAAGGCGACUUUCUGGUCUGUAACUGACGCUGAUGUGCGAAAGCGUGGGGAUCAAACAGGAUUAGAUACCCUGGUAGUCCACGCCGUAAACGAUGAGUGCUAAGUGUUAGGGGGUUUCCGCCCCUUAGUGCUGCAGCUAACGCAUUAAGCACUCCGCCUGGGGAGUACGACCGCAAGGUUGAAACUCAAAGGAAUUGACAGGGACCCGCACAAGCGGUGGAGCAUGUGGUUUAAUUCGAAGCAACGCGAAGAACCUUACCAAAUCUUGACAUCCUUUGACCCUUCUAGAGAUAGAAGUUUCCCUUUCGGGGGACAAAGUGACAGGUGGUGCAUGGUUGUCGUCAGCUCGUGUCGUGAGAUGUUGGGUUAAGUCCCGCAACGAGCGCAACCCUUAAGCUUAGUUGCCAUCAUUAAGUUGGGCACUCUAAGUUGACUGCCGGUGACAAACCGGAGGAAGGUGGGGAUGACGUCAAAUCAUCAUGCCCCUUAUGAUUUGGGCUACACACGUGCUACAAUGGACAAUACAAAGGGCAGCGAAACCGCGAGGUCAAGCAAAUCCCAUAAAGUUGUUCUCAGUUCGGAUUGUAGUCUGCAACUCGACUACAUGAAGCUGGAAUCGCUAGUAAUCGUAGAUCAGCAUGCUACGGUGAAUACGUUCCCGGGUCU
rnacentral:rRNA from 1 species